GACGAACGCUGGCGGCGUGCCUAAUACAUGCAAGUUGAGCGCUGAAGGUUGGUACUUGUACCGACUGGAUGAGCAGCGAACGGGUGAGUAACGCGUGGGGAAUCUGCCUUUGAGCGGGGGACAACAUUUGGAAACGAAUGCUAAUACCGCAUAAAAACUUUAAACACAAGUUUUAAGUUUGAAAGAUGCAAUUGCAUCACUCAAAGAUGAUCCCGCGUUGUAUUAGCUAGUUGGUGAGGUAAAGGCUCACCAAGGCGAUGAUACAUAGCCGACCUGAGAGGGUGAUCGGCCACCUUGGGACUGAGACACGGCCCAAACGCCUACGGGAGGCAGCAGUAGGGAAUCUUCGGCAAUGGACGGAAGUCUGACCGAGCAACGCCGCGUGAGUGAAGAAGGUUGUCGGAUCGUAAAACUCUGUUGGUAGAGAAGAACGUUGGUGAGAGUGGAAAGCUCAUCAAGUGACGGUAACUACACAGAAAGGGACGGCUAACUACGUG
rnacentral:rRNA from 1 species